GAACGCACAUUGCGCCCCUUAGUAUUCUAGUGGGCAUGCCUGUUCGAGCGUCAUUUCAACCCUUAAGCCUAGCUUAGUGUUGGGAGACUGCCUAAUACGCAGCUCCUCAAAACCAGUGGCAGAGUUUUUACGUACUCUGAGCGCAGUAAUUCUAUUCUCGCUUUUGAACACGUCUAGACGAUAGCCAAAAACCGCUUGCUUCGGCAGCACUUUUUUAAUGGUUGACCUCGGAUCAGGUAGGAAUACCCGCUGAACUUAAG
rnacentral:misc_RNA from 1 species